GGGUGCUUAGCUCAGCUGGUUCAGAGCGCCGCCCUUACAAGGCGGAGGUCGCAGGUUCGAUCCCCGCAGCACCCACAA
rnacentral:tRNA from 1 species